rnacentral:misc_RNA from 1 species
GCUAAACUCAAGCCUACUUGUAGGCUUGGUCUUGGGUGCUGUUCCCCCCGGUGAACACGCCUCAAAUGCAAUGGCGACACUGCCUGGCUUCAAGCGUCUAGGAAACUUCACCGCUUUGGAUGCCUGGGACUGUCCGCCCCUCAACCCCAAUAUUUUUCUG